GGUGGCGUAGCUCAGCUGGCAGAGCAGCGGAAUCAUAAUCCGUAGGUCGGGGGUUCAAACCCCUCCGCCACUA
rnacentral:tRNA from 1 species